rnacentral:rRNA from 1 species
UCAUCUUUACCUCACCAAGCCGACCUGGCCCGGGCUCAAAGGGGAUUAGAUACCCCUGUAGUCCCAGCUGUAAACGAUGCGGGCUAGCUGUUGGGCGGGCUUAGGGCCCGCCCAGUGGCGUAGGGAAGCCGUUAAGCCCGCCGCCUGGGGAGUACGGCCGCAAGGCUGAAACUUAAAGGAAAGGGAGGUUGGGAGCUGGGUGCAAAGGUGAUAAUUAAGAAGUGAAUAUGAUUAUGAGGUUAAGUUGGCGCAGAGGAACUAUGAAUGUAAUCUUUGUCCUCUUUGUCUGUCCGUCCAGCUUCCACCUCCCCCUGAGUUGGCGGGGGGGCACCACAAGGGGUGAAGCUUGCGGCUUAAUUGGAGUCAACGCCGGAAACCUCACCCGGGGCGACAGCAGGAUGAAGGCCAGGCUAAUGACCUUGCCGGACGAGCUGAGAGGAGGUGCAUGGCCGUCGUCAGCUCGUGCCGUGAGGUGUCCAGUUAAGUCUGGCAACGAGCGCGACCCCCGCCCCUUGUUGCCACCCUACCCUUCGGGGUAGGGGGCACACAAGGGGGACUGCCGGCGUAAGCCGGAGGAAGGAGGGGGCUACGGCAGGUCAGUAUGCCCCGAAACCCCGGGGCUGCACGCGAGCUGCAAUGGCGGGGACAGCGGGUUCCGACCCCGAAAGGGGGAGGCAAUCCCGUAAACCCCGCCCCAGUAGGAAUCGAGGGCUGCAACUCGCCCUCGUGAACGUGGAAUCCCUAGUAACCGCGUGUCACCAACGCGCGGUGAAUACGUCCCUGCCCCUUGCACACACCGCCCGUCGCGCC